UACGGAGGGUGCAAGCGCUAUCCGGAAUCACUGGGUUUAAAGGGUGCGUAGGCGGCUUAAUAAGUCAGAGGUGAAAGGCUGUGGCUCAACCAUGGGAUUGCCUUUGAUACUGUUAGGCUUGAAUCAGGCUGAGGUUGGCAGAAUGUGGCAUGUAGCGGUGAAAUGCAUAGAUAUGCCAUAGAAUACCGAUUGCGAAGGCAGCUGACUGGGCCUUGAUUGACGCUGAGGAACGAAAGCGUGGGGAGCGAACAGG
rnacentral:rRNA from 1 species